AUUGAACGCUGGCGGCAGGCCUAACACAUGCAAGUCGAACGAGUGGCGGACGGGUUAGUAAUGUCUGGGAAUCUGCCUGUUGGAGGGAGAUCACUACUGGAAACUGUCGCUAAUACCGCAUACCAUCAGAUGUGCCCAGAUGGGAUUAGCUAGUUGGUGGGGUAACGGCUCACAAAGGCGACGAUCCCUAGCUGGUCUGAGAGGAUGACCAGCCACACUGGAACUGAGACACGGUCCAGACUCCUACGGGAGGCAGCAGUGGGGAAUAUUGCACAAUGGGCGCAAGCCUGAUGCAGCCAUGCCGCGUGUAUGAAGAAGGCCUUCGGGUUGUAAAGUACUUUCAGCGGGGAGGCGUUACCCGCAGAAGAAGCACCGGCUAACUCCGUGCCAGCCGCCGCGGUAAUUC
rnacentral:rRNA from 1 species